CGUGCAUUAACAUCCGAGGGGCUGCUUUCAAAGACAGACAAAAAACCCAUGAACAACCAGCAAACCAACCAAACAACAUAUUAAAAAAAGUCCCUCGGGCAUUGCCUUUGCUGCUCCCAAAAUGGCGGCCAGAAACAACCUCGGCAAUAUGCAAAUGAGGUAAAGCAGAACAGAAUCCACCAAAAGGGCCUAAAAACACCAAACUAACGUGGAAACUCGAGGAACCAAGUGACUAAACCUAGUGGGAAGAGUCCUCCCAUGCCAUCAAUCGAGUUCUGGAGGUUACCACCACCUAAAAGUAGCCGGACCGAGAUGAGGACCCUAGUCUACGAGCCACUAAUUGUCUUCCUAGGCACGCCUUCGAGGACGGAAGCCCCAGUUCUGCUGUGAAGCACAACUGUUCACCUCCUCCUCUGCGUCACCGAAGGGAGCAGCGACGGUGUGCGCGACCCCUCGGGCCCCCACCCAGAGCUGAUCACCUAAUAAAGGCCUUUUUAAAGGAGCUGGUCUCCAGGCCCUUAA